rnacentral:misc_RNA from 1 species
UUUCCGUAGGUGAACCUGCGGAAGGAUCAUCAGUGUAAAAAAAAAUUUUUUUUUUUUUACCUAAAUCAAAAAUCACACCCUUUUUGUGCAAAAAUACAAAAAUACUACUUUUUUAUUAUUAAAAACAACCCCCCUUUUAUAAAAUUAUAAAACAAAAAAUACCCCCUUAUUAAAAACAAAAAGACAACUUUUAACAACGGAUCUCUUGGCUCUC